CUCAUGUUUAUAAACCACAUUCAUUCAUGUUCUUUCUCUCUCUUACCCUUACUCUUCCAUCAAGAUUUGAGCUUGGAUUGAUUGAGGAAGUUUACAGAAGGCACUUCCAGCAACUGGAUUAUCUUCUUAUGAAGCCAUUAUCACUUACAAGACUCUUGGGAACUGAGGUCUCAUUAAGUGUGCAAGAUUUUUAAUAAACUCUUCAAUGAAGGGAGAGAAAAUGAAUACCUAAUCCUCUGUAUUCAAACUGGUACUUUAGAACUUCUUAAAAAAUAAAACAGGAAUAAAAUGAUUAUUAUUUUUAAGACCCAUGUCUGGGGGCGCCUGGGUGGCUCAGUGGUUAAGCCUCUGCCUUCGGCUCAGGUCAUGAUCUCAGGGUCCUGGGAUCCAGCCCUGCAUCGGGCUCUCUGCUCAGCAGGGAGCCUGCUUCC
rnacentral:lncRNA from 1 species